rnacentral:sRNA from 1 species
AUUUGGCGUUGGCCUUUGUUGGCUGCAGUAAGAGCUCAGUCUCUUCACCAGGGGCUCCCAGUCCUUCCAUCUGGGAGGCCAAGGCGGCUUCGCGUUCUGAGAAUAGACAGAACCUCUGUUACUCUGUGACCGGCAGGCACCGGGAGAUCCGUAGCUCAGACGCCAGGACAUCCCGGAAGCUGGGAAAUGAUAUCUUUUCUCAUGAUACUCAAGGCCUCUUAAGAAAGAAGCUUAUAGAAGCAUCAUUCCAAAAAGCGAUAUUGGAUGGAUAUGGGAGCUGUGGCCCUCAGAAUUUAAACUUAAGGAAAGAGUGGGAAAGUGAGG